GGGAGCGAGGGGGGAGCUCUUCCCAAAGCCGCGUGGCCUCGGGGAGCCCCGCAGCUCCCACGCGCUGUGCCCGCGGCCCGGCUCUGAGCGGCGCUCCGGCGGUGCCCCGCGCUGAGUUUCAGAGAUUCUCCUCUGAGCUCUCCGUAUGGGAGCAUUCCUGCAUGAACUCCGCCAGCCCUCUCGCAGUGAACACAGAUGUGAACAACUCGCUUGGUUCUGCCUGCUGGGACCUCAUCUCCAGGUCAGAUCUUCCCUCCGCUGUGCCAUGUCUGCAGACUCGGGCAGCCUCUGCUCCUGAUGGCUUUUAAAAAUCACUUGUGUUUAGUUCAUAAAGGAUUUCUUCAUCCUGUAGGAGCAUCACACAGUGCUGUUUACUCACACCGCCUCCUUGUCCCCUCUCAAGCCUGUUGAUGGCAAACAAUGGAUGACAAAUGAUUGCCCCCAGUGCAGUCACACACGGGUUCCACACACCCCACAAGCACUCAGGGCUUUGAGCUGCCCCUUUUACAUUCACCAUUUUCAUUUAGAAGUCAUCAUCACAGGGCAAAAGCAUAUAAAGCUAUGUUUAUAUUGGGUGUGUUAAAAGGCUGAGGUAUCAGGUGAACACUGUGCCCUGCAGUACAUUACUUCAGACCUUGUGUUCCUUACACUAGCCACAGUUUUUAUCUGAACUGUGGGAUAGGUACCCCCACACCACCUGGAUGCAAAGGAAAAUACCUGGGGGGGAAGGAUAUUUCAUGGCGUGCUGACGUGUACACACCGCUGUGCUGUGGUUAUCAGCAGCUCAUGGCAGGAUCCUGCAGAGGUGGAUUUGGCUCUUCACAGCUGUGAGGAAGCCUUUCUCCAGGCUCUCCCAGGGUCCCGUGGGGUGUUCCCAGAAUUGACAACCACCAGAGCCAUUCACUCAUUCCUGGGACCUGAAGGAGACUGGCACGACCCACCAGCAGCAGCCCUGGGCACCCCAUGGGCUGCACAGGACACCAUGUGCAUCCAGCAGGGAACAGCCACGCGAUAGCAACACAGCCCGUGGCAAAGGCAAGGCAGCAGGACUGCAUGGACCUGGGCCACUGCCUUCUGCUCCCAAACACUGCAGCCAUCAGACCCUCCAGCAAGCUGGCAGGCAUCACUGCUCAGAGACACGGGGGUCCUUGUAGCCACCACUCUCCUCAGGCACACAGGGUUUGGAGUCAACAGCUGCACACUAAGGUGAGGAAAGUGGUCACAACUGUCCCCGCUCAGUGCUGCAGAAGUGUUUAAAUGCUCUAAGACUGCACUUUGCUAACGGUGAUGAGCAGUAGUACAAUGGAGAACUGGCACGAGUAACACCAGCCCUUUAGAAAGGCAAGGAGACAAUAUUUCCACCCUUCUCAGAUUAUCACCUCGGGUAAAAAUACUCCUUACACUCCACUUUAUAUUAAAAAAACUUACAAUUCAUUUAAAGCAAUUAAUUGUUUCCUUACAACAAUAACGUGGAAAGUUUGAACAGGUCCUGCUCGCCCUCUUUGUACCUAACAGCUCUUCAGGCAGCCCGAACAGAAAAGCUGAGGUGUAACCAUGAAUAGAGAGUUGCACCUUCAAAAUGUGCCCACCAAGAGAGCUUCCAGCAGGAAGCUUUAUGAGCUGUUAUUCACUGUGAUGCCUGAAGCACAAAAACCCACCCAAGUAGUAAUAAUUAAGAACUUCCUGAGCAGAUAUCAGAAACAAUAUAAUAUUGGCGUCCACAGCAGGCUGUUGUCUGACAGAUCGAAUACAAGCAAGACCAGCAUUGCAGCACAAAGUGGCAAAGUGAAUUCUGAUUGGAAAAUGAAUGUGACAGUUUUCAUGUUAAAAAAAAAAAAAAAUCUAUUUCAAGAAGCAUUCAGAGAAAGGCUCUGCUUCCAGAACCCAGCAACCCACAUUCUUCUGGCUGCGAAGCAAGGCCAACACCUGGUACUACAUCAGUCAGCUCCUCUGGAAGCUGUGAUACACCUUUAAGGCAAAAGUGAGAAAGGAAAACACCUUCAAGUUACACAUGAGAAAACACCUGAAAA